UUCUCGAAAUUUAACAACUUUAAUCUCGAGAUGGUUUUAUUUUUUUUAUUAUUGCUUGGCCCUAAUCCUCUUCCGUACAGUACAGAGGAACGAUAUCGUAGAAAUUACUUUUUUUUAAAUCACUGAUGAACGAUACAGCUAAUCAGAAUCAUUCCGAAUCAUUCCUACUUAAAAGCGCGCGCUGCAUUUACGUUAACGGAAUGUGACUGAAGCGCGCUUACAAAAAAAAAAAAAAAAUACCGUUAUCGUCCGUCCGAUGGUGUGACGCUGACAUAGUUAUCGUUCUUUGUGAACGGACCUUUCUUUACUGCACAGUUGUGACGCAAAGAUAAAGAUGUUAUCACUCCAUAAACCGUCAUCAUUCAGAUUCAGCAAUGAGCGAAACAACAGGGAUUCAGAAGCAGCGUGAAAUCUGUCGUUUACGGCAACAAAUGAAGUGGAGGAGGUCGUACCUUUGGAACCGCUGCUUGCAGCAAUAUGUUCCGCAUGGGUAACGGCGCCGUGUUGAGCAGCGAUACCACAAUGACCAGGACGUCCGGUCGAGCCGGCGGACAGUCCAUCGCGAAGUGCAUAAGAACACGAACUCCAUCUUUAUCGUACACCGUCACAGGUUGGACAGGCUGGGCUCGGAGCUACGCGCUGGGCUGCUCUGGAGCGAGUGGGAUGGGGAUGAGAAGGGCUGAAAGAAAGGGCUGCCAGGAGCCGAGCCGGCUGUCACCGCCUGAGCCCGAG